CAACGUUAACAGGAGGCAGCAGCACUCCUGGGGCUCGGCCCAGCCCAGUAGGGACCACUGCAGCACCAGGAGGCCGAGCAACUGGGAGUGUGACAGCCACCACUGGGGUAGCCCCUGGCACAACUGUUGGCCCUGGCAGUUUCAACACAG